AAUGAACGCUGGCGGCAGGCCUAACACAUGCAAGUCGAGCGAAGUCUUCGGACUUAGCGGCGGACGGGUGAGUAACGCGUGGGAACAUACCCUUUGGUACGGAAUAGCCUCGGGAAACUGGGGAGUAAUACCGUAUGUGCCCCUUUCGGGGGGAAAGAUUUUAUCGCCAAAGGAUUGGCCCCGCGUUUGGAUUAGGUAGUUUGGUGGGGGUAAUGGCCUACCAAGCCGACGAUCCAUAGCUGGUUUGAGAGGAUGAUCAGCCACACUGGGGACUGAGACACGGCCCAGACUCC
rnacentral:rRNA from 1 species